UUGUACAGAACUUUUACUAUAGUUUUAGUAUUACAGUAUAACUAGUCUGAACUUGGACUGAAUUCAGAGUACUACUGAUGCCUGUUGCAUCUCAUUCACAAGCAACCUCAUGCCCGUCUCCACUCAACUACGUACCCAACAUCAUGUCUCGAUGCGAGAUUCUUCAAUUGCAUCUUCUCUUUUUUCAGACCAUUCGCCAAUAUCAUGUCACGAUUCACCUACAGACCACACCCUGAAAUCGCAUUGCAAUCAGCGAACAAUAGAAUUUCUCCAAGGAAAGAGGCUCAUACAAGAACAGCAAGAACACACUUUUGAUUUCCCUAGUACCUGCGUCCUGGAUUCAGCACGCUUCAAGAAAUGCGUCGAGGCUGAAGCUCGUAUUGCUUCUCACUGCGCAUCCACACAGCCUCUCUAGCUCGUACUGCAAAGGACCCUCCUGAUAUGCCACCGGCGACUGCGACGUCGCCGCCGUACCACUGGAAUAGGAGGAGCUUGCCGAGAAGCUCGCGAACGACGCCAUGGACUGCAGCCAAUUCGAGAAUGAGGUCUGAAUUCGAGCGUGAGGUCUGGAUCGAGCGAGCGAGCAUCAAUGGGGAA
rnacentral:lncRNA from 1 species